rnacentral:rRNA from 1 species
UACGGAGGGGGCAAGCGUUGUUCGGAAUUAUUGGGCGUAAAGGGCGCGUAGGCGGCCGGCCAAGUCGAACGUGAAAUCCCUGGGCUCAACCCAGGAACUGCGUCCGAUACUGGAAGGCUUGAAUCCGGGAGAGGGAUGCGGAAUUCCAGGUGUAGCGGUGAAAUGCGUAGAUAUCUGGAGGAACACCGGUGGCGAAGGCGGCAUCCUGGACCGGCAUUGACGCUGAGGCGCGAAAGCCAGGGGAGCAAACGGG